CUCUCGCCGUCAACUGGGCAAACAAAUAAACAUCAAAUAGGUCCUUAAAAUGGGUGCGAGCCCUCCUCUUCCUCUUCAUCCUCUCCUCUGCUCGACCCCUGAAACCAAAUCGCAUUCUCUCAUGUUCAUCAUCUCCUCUGCUCGACCCCAAACCUCGAAAUCACAGCCUCUUUCUCCUUAGCACAACAAGAUCGAGUUCCCAUGACAAUCCAAUUUGCCCAAGGGUGAAUUCACUCCAUGCAUCCAUUAGCGGCCGACUAUGCGACCCAACUGAUGGUUUCGAAAGCCACAAAGCCACAAAACGAAGUUGAUGAGACCCAACUGAUGGUUUCUGAAGCCAAAACGAGAAGUCAAUCACCAUCAAUUGACCAACUAUGCUUUGCACCUCACCAGGAAACGAAGAGUUAGCUGCUAAUUAAUGCAUGCUCUAGGCAUUCAUGCACGACAAUAAGAGUCUCCCGAAACCGAUAAUGAUUGCUUCUUUCCCUACAAAUAACAUAGAUCUCCCUCACGAUGCAUAACGUUGUAGCCUUAACUUGAAAAUUUUAUCUAACAGGAAGGGAGAAGAUGGACAAAAGAGGAAGAGGAAAAAGACGAAGGACGAUUCUGGCUAUGAUUUUGACGAUGAUUUAAGCGAUGAUUCUGACGAUGAUUCAAGCGAUGAUUUUGAUGAUGAUUCAGGUGAUGAUUUUGACAAGUUUCAACACUAUAUCUCUCGCCGCGAACUUGCCCGACUGUUAGGCUAGAGUACCACCCCCUCUACUAAUGAUGAAGAUGAUAAUGUUGAUUUCUUCAUGCUUGAUACUGAUGAUGAUCCACCCUCCCCGAUGUCUAGUGAUGAAGAUGAUGAUCCUGAAUUGAAUGAUUAGUGUUAUUGUUCUCAAUUAUAGUUGUUUCCGCUUAAUCCUUUUGUAAUUUUUCUAUUUAUAAAUGGAAAAUUUUAUAUGAAAUGAAUGGAAUUCAUCUUA